rnacentral:lncRNA from 1 species
AUUCUCUCUUUCUUUCUUUUCAACAUCAUUAUCAAUCCUUCCCGGAGAGCACUGCUGAGUACUGAUUCAGCAGACACUGAUGUGAAUCCUUCUUCUGCCACACACUUAGCAGCAGUGCGACCUGGGACAGCCUAUCAGUCAAGACCACAUCCAUUCAAAAGCUUAUAGAGCAGAAGUAGGCUCCGACCACUUGUUCAGCUUGUGUCCGUUGCUGCUUUGCUCUGUUCCACCUUGCACUGGAUGGCUUGCACUGCAUUUAAAGGUAUGUUGCACACCACUAAAUGUUCUUCAGCCGUGGGCCUUUUAUAUACCCAAGGAGAUCUUAUGUGAUAUUGAAGGCAGAGGCAAGUUCACGAUUUCUUUGGUUGUCUCCUUACACAUGGAAAAUACAGUGCUCUGUUCAAAACACACUUAUGGCAAUUCACUAUUAGCUUAACAUCAUCUUCAAAAUUGGCAUCUAAAUGCAACUCAUGAAGGAUACAGUAUUCUUUUUCAUUGGCUAACAGUGAAAGUAAGAGAAUCACAGAAGGCCCCCAAGUUGAUAAGGGUAGAAUUCCUGUAUUGUCAAACUGAGAGCUACUUCCCUCUGGAAGUGUAGUGAAAUGAAUUAAACUACAAAGCAGCUCAUUAAUAAGAUUUUUUCAUUUAAAAACAAAACAUUAUUUUGCCAAUAGCUGCUUUUAUGGUAUAUCUUCUACUCACACUAAAUUUAUUGGGCUUCUGUUAAAGAGGGAAUCUGACUGUGUUGACAAGUUGUUUGAC